GACGAACGCUGGCGGCGUGCUUAACACAUGCAAGUCGAACGGAAAGGCCUCUUUCGGGGGGUACUCGAGUGGCGAACGGGUGAGUAACACGUGAGUAACCUGCCCUUGACUUUGGGAUAACUUCAGGAAACUGGGGCUAAUACCGGAUAGGAGCUCCUGCUGCAUGGUGGGGGUUGGAAAGUUUCGGCGGUUGGGGAUGGACUCGCGGCUUAUCAGCUUGUUGGUGGGGUAGUGGCUUACCAAGGCUUUGACGGGUAGCCGGCCUGAGAGGGUGACCGGCCACAUUGGGACUGAGAUACGGCCCAGACUCCUACGGGAGGCAGCAGUGGGGAAUAUUGCACAAUGGGUGGAAGCCUGAUGCAGCAACGCCGUGUGCGGGAUGACGGCCUUCGGGUUGUAAACCGCUUUCGCUCAUGACGAAGCGUUGUGUGACGGUAGUGGGUAAAGAAGCACCGGCUAACUACGUG
rnacentral:rRNA from 1 species